rnacentral:rRNA from 1 species
UUUGAAAGGGAAACGAUUGAAGUCAGUCGUACCAGCGGGAAAUCAACCUUUCGAGUGGGAUUUUGGGGUUUUGAAGAGUGUUAAACCUUUGAGAUUUCAAAAUGUCCGCUUUUUUGGUGUACUUUCUCGCAGGUAGGUUAACAUCGAUUUUGAUCAUCAUAAAAUGAUUGGAGGAAUGUAGCUUCGAUCUUGUAUUGAAGUGUUAUAGCCUUCGGUAAAUGUGAUGAUUAGGAUCGAGGAUUGCAACGAAUACCCUUUUGGGCUAUCCGCCUGAUCUCUGAUACGUGACCUUGG